rnacentral:rRNA from 1 species
GCAGCAGUGGGGAAUAUUGCACAAUGGGCGAAAGCCUGAUGCAGCGACGCCGCGUGAGGGAUGACGGCCUUCGGGUUGUAAACCUCUUUCAGUAGGGAAGAAGCGAAAGUGACGGUACCUGCAGAAGAAGCACCGGCUAACUACGUGCCAGCAGCCGCGGUAAUACGUAGGGUGCGAGCGUUAUCCGGAAUUAUUGGGCGUAAAGAGCUCGUAGGCGGUUUGUCGCGUCUGUCGUGAAAGUCCGGGGCUUAACCCCGGAUCUGCGGUGGGUACGGGCAGACUAGAGUGCAGUAGGGGAGACUGGAAUUCCUGGUGUAGCGGUGGAAUGCGCAGAUAUCAGGAGGAACACCGAUGGCGAAGGCAGGUCUCUGGGCUGUAACUGACGCUGAGGAGCGAAAGCAUGGGGAGCGAACAGGAUUAGAUACCCUGGUAGUCCAUGCCGUAAACGUUGGGCACUAGGUGUGGGGACCAUUCCACGGUUUCCGCGCCGCAGCUAACGCAUUAAGUGCCUCGCCUGGGGAGUACGGCCGCAAGGCUAAAACUCAAAGGAAUUGACGGGGGCCCGCACAAGCGGCGGAGCAUGCGGAUUAAUUCGAUGCAACGCGAAGAACCUUACCAAGGCUUGACAUGUUCUCGAUCGCCGUAGAGAUACGGUUUCCCCUUUGGGGCGGGUUCACAGGUGGUGCAUGGUUGUCGUCAGCUCGUGUCGUGAGAUGUUNGGGUUAAGUCCCGCAACGAGCGCAACCCUCGUUCCAUGUUGCCAGCACGUAAUGGUGGGGACUCAUGGGAGACUGCCGGGGUCAACUCGGAGGAAGGUGAGGACGACGUCAAAUCAUCAUGCCCCUUAUGUCUUGGGCUUCACGCAUGCUACAAUGGCCGGUACAAUGGGUUGCGACACUGUGAGGUGGAGCUAAUCCCAAAAAGCCGGUCUCAGUUCGGAUUGGGGUCUGCAACUCGACCCCAUGAAGUCGGAGUCGCUAGUAAUCGCAGAUCAGCAACGCUGCGGUGAAUACGUUCCCGGGCCUUGUACACACCGCCCGUCAAGUCACGAAAGUUGGUAACACCCGAAGCCGGUGGCCUAACCCUUGUGGGGGGAGCCGUCGRACUAG